rnacentral:tRNA from 1 species
GGCCAGGUAGCUCAGUUGGUAGAGCAGGGGACUGAAAAUCCCCGUGUCGGCAGUUCGACUCUGUCCCUGGCCACCA